UACAGAGGUGGCAAGCGUUGUUCGGAAUUACUGGGCGUAAAGGGCGCGUAGGCGGUCCGCUAAGUUAGAUGUGAAAACUCUGGGCUCAACCCAGAGCCUGCAUCUAAUACUGACGGGCUAGAGUUCUGGAGGGGGUAGCGGAAUUCCUGGUGUAGCGGUGAAAUGCGUAGAUAUCAGGAGGAACACCGGUGGCGAAGGCGGCUACCCGGACAGAAACUGACGCUGAGGCGCGAAAGCUAGGGGAGCAAACAGG
rnacentral:rRNA from 1 species